rnacentral:rRNA from 1 species
AUUUGAAAUCUGGCCCUUGGGUCCGAAUUGUAAUUUGUAGAGGAUGAUUUUGGUGCGGUAUCUUCCGAGUUCCUUGGAACAGGACGCCUUAGAGGGUGAGAGCCCCGUACGGUUGAAUGCCUAGCCUCUGUAAAUCUCCUUCGACGAGUCGAGUAGUUUGGGAAUGCUGCUCUAAAUGGGAGGUAAAUUUCUUCUAAAGCUAAAUAUUGGCCAGAGACCGAUAGCGCACAAGUAGAGUGAUCGAAAGAUGAAAAGCACUUUGAAAAGAGGGUUAAAUAGCACGUGAAAUUGUUGAAAGGGAAGGAUUUGUGACCAGACUUUUUCUGGGCGGAUCAUCCGGGGUUCUCUCCGGUGCACUUCGCCCAGUAAAGGCCAGCAUCGGUUUUCGGCGUGGGAUAAAAGCAGUAGGAAUGUGGCUCUCUACGGGGAGUGUUAUAGCCUAUUGUAUAAUACCGCGCUGGGGACCGAGGUUCGCGCUUCUGCAAGGAUGCUGGCGUAAUGGUUAUCAAUCACCCGUCUUGAAACACGGACCAAGGAGUCGAACAUUUGUGCGAGUGUUUGGGUGUUAAACCCUCACGCGUAAUGAAAGUGAACGGAGGUGAGAGCCCUUACGGGUGCAUCAUCGACCGAUCCUGAAGUUUUCGGAUGGAUUUGAGUAAGAGCAUAACUGUUCGGACCCGAAAGAUGGUGAACUAUGCGUGGAUAGGGUGAAGCCAGAGGAAACUCUGGUGGAGGCUCGCAGCGGUUCUGACGUGCAAAUCGAUCGUCAAAUCUGCGCAUGGGGGCGAAAGACUAAUCGAACCAUCUAGUAGCUGGUUACCGCC